AAGUGGCCUCGGACUCAUCGGAGCCAUCAGGACACUCCUCCUCGCCGUCACACUUCCACCGUUCGUGGAUGCAGUGGCCGUUGUCACAGGGAGAAGAAGACAAAAGGCGGUGAGGAGGAGCAACAAGAAGUCGUAAUGUAUGAAGAACCUGCAGCAGACUCAGGCACAUGGCAGAUGCUGGAGAAGUGGCAGCUACUGUUGUUUUCAGGGUUUGAGUCUUAAUUAGAAGCUGAAGGAAUGGGGUUCUGUGUCCACACAGGGGAUGUAGCAGGCUGAGAGCUCACAGCUGGUUACGGAGCUGAGAUAAGAAUGCAGGUACCAUCCCCAGCCCGGUUCUUUACUGCCUUCUGUGUCUUGUCCUACGAGGAACUAGAGUUUCCAGAUCAAUGAGAGGAAACAGAGAUGGAUGCCCAUGUCAUAAGGUGCCCCAGCUUCUUCCCAAGCAGCAGCACAGCACUGGGCGCACCUAGCAGGCCCGGGGGAGAGCAGUUGCCCUGUCAGGACUUCCAUGGGGGAACUGAGGCUGCCUGGCUACCCCCACAGCCCUAGGCCUCUGAAUUAUUGGGGGCUCAUCUGCAUCAAAUCUGCAUUGAACUCACACAUGCCCUGUUCCUGCUGGACCAAGCAUCCAGGACCCGCUACAGAACAAGGUGAGGAAGAGAGCACUGGGCAGGGAGUCCGGAGGUCUGGAUUUGAGACACUGCUGUGCUAUUUUGCUCUGUAUCCUCAAGCACAUCAUGGCCCUUUUCUGGCCUACAGCUUCUUCAUCAGGAAAAGAGAGGGUGAUCUGGUGAGAGAUAAGCUUUCAGGUGUGGUAGUUCGAGACCAGGAGGCCCAGAAAUGAAGACGGCAGGGGGGUCUCUUUUCAGCCUAAAAGAGGAUACCUCAGCACAGCAGUGACUUACCCCAGGCCUUGGGGCGCUCAGACCACCAAAGUCCUCCCCUGGAAUGAGCUUGGGAUGGAUUUAACAUCAGGGGCCACUAGGAUGUGGCCUCUCCCCAGGGGCUUAGAAGUCCCGUGGCCCCAGCCUGCCCCGCUCCCUCAUCUUCCCCUCCUCAUACUUCCCAAUCUAGCCCCACCUCAACUGCCGGUGGGUCCUCAUAUACUCCAUGCUUUUUAUACCAUCAUACCUUGCCCAAGCUGUCUUUAGUCUGAAAGCCCCUUCCCCCACCUCUCACCUUCUUUCCAUUACACACUGGGCUUAAGUAUCACCUCCAGUCUUGAUCAGUAGCCUCUCCUGAGCUCCUACAAUCCCCUGAAUGUCCUUCUAGGGCAGAGGUUGGCAAACUUUUUCUGUGAAGGGCCAGAUAGUAGCUAUUUAGGCUUUGAGGGCCAAAUGGUCUCGGUCACACCACUCAAUCCUGCCACUAUGGGGCAGAAGCAGUCAGAGACAUUAGAUAAAUGAGUGAGCAUGGUUAUGUUUCAAUAAAACUUUAUUUACAAAAAACUGGUGACAGGCCAGGCCUGUGGCCUGUAUUUUGAUGACCUCUGCUCUAGAUCAUCACUGAUUGCGAGUCCAACAUGGUUUGCUUUCUUCCCUGUCCCUGCAGCACAGAGACUGUCAAAUUCAGCAAGAAUCCAGCUUGGGGUAGGUCUCAGUGCGGGACACUGAGCUAAAUGCGAGCACAGCCCCCCAGCCUCUGCUCCAUACUUACAGUUCU
rnacentral:lncRNA from 1 species